rnacentral:rRNA from 1 species
GACGAACGCUGGCGGCGUGCUUAACACAUGCGAGUCGAACGGAAAGGCCCUGCUUUUGUGGGGUGCUCGAGUGGCGAACGGGUGAGUAACACGUGAGUAACCUGCCCUUGACUUUGGGAUAACUUCAGGAAACUGGGGCUAAUACCGGAUAGGAGCUCCUGCUGCAUGGUGGGGGUUGGAAAGUUUCGGCGGUUGGGGAUGGACUCGCGGCUUAUCAGCUUGUUGGUGGGGUAGUGGCUUACCAAGGCUUUGACGGGUAGCCGGCCUGAGAGGGUGACCGGCCACAUUGGGACUGAGAUACGGCCCAGACUCAUACGGGAGGCAGCAGUGGGGAAUAUUGCACAAUGGGCGGAAGCCUGAUGCAGCAACGCCGCGUGCGGGAUGACGGCCUUCGGGUUGUAAACCGCUUUCGCCUGUGACGAAGCGUGAGUGACGGUAAUGGGUAAAGAAGCACCGGCUAACUACGUG